rnacentral:rRNA from 1 species
UACAGAGGUCCCAAGCGUUGUUCGGAAUUACUGGGCGUAAAGGCUCGUAGGCGGCCAACUAAGUCAGACGUGAAAUCCCUCGGCUUAACCGGGGAACUGCGUCUGAUACUGGAUGGCUUGAAUCCGGGAGAGGGAUGCGGAAUUCCAGGUGUAGCGGUGAAAUGCGUAGAUAUCUGGAGGAACACCGGUGGCGAAGGCGACAUCCUGGACCGGUAUUGACGCUGAGUGAGCGAAAGCCAGGGGAGCAAACGGG